rnacentral:tRNA from 1 species
AAGAAAUUAGUUAAAAUAUAACAUUAAUAUGUCAAAUUAAAAUUAUUAAAAAAAAUAUUUCUUU